AUCCAGAUGACUAGUCCGAAAUAGGACGAAACGCGCAUCCUGGAU
rnacentral:hammerhead_ribozyme from 1 species